GUGAUAAAGAGUCGUACAAAAACCUCUGUCAGUCAGACGUCACAGUGACUGCACUGAUACAGCUGAGAGAAACUGCAGCUGCUGAUGGAGGAUCACACACUACACAAUAUCAAUGUCUAGCAAACUUUGUAAAGACUUUAAAGUUGAGCUACACCUGAGCAGCAGCCGCAUACUCGAGCUACAAUCGCUUUCCGGACCCACACCUGAGGGCACACAGAGCCUGAGAACGAGAGCCUGAGUCGAUGCACUGCCGUGCUGUCUGUCGUAGGAGCUUUUGCAGUCCACCCCGGGAAUCAGAAGCGCUCCGCCUUUGUAACUAAUCUGUCUGUGUUUCGUGAAGCUAUCCGGUACUUGUUGACCGACCUACUAAAUAAACAUACCCCUAUUUUUGACACGA